UACGUAGGAUGCAAGCGUUGUCCGGAAUUACUGGGCGUAAAGGGCGCGCAGGCGGUUUGCCAAGUCAGAUGUGAAAUACUCCGGCUUAACCGGGGGGGGUCGUUUGAAACUGGCAGACUAGAGUGCAACAGAGGAUAGUGGAAUUCCCGGUGUAGUGGUGAAAUGCGUAGAUAUCGGGAGGAACACCAGUGGCGAAGGCGGCUAUCUGGGUUGCAACUGACGCUGAGGCGCGAAGGCUAGGGGAGCGAACAGG
rnacentral:rRNA from 1 species